GAUGAACGCUGGCGGCGUGCCUAAUACAUGCAAGUCGAGCGAACAGAUGAGGAGCUUGCUCCUCUGACGUUAGCGGCGGACGGGUGAGUAACACGUGGAUAACCUACCUAUAAGACUGGGAUAACUUCGGGAAACCGGAGCUAAUACCGGAUAAUAUAUUGAACCGCAUGGUUCAAUAGUGAAAGACGGUUUUGCUGUCACUUAUAGAUGGAUCCGCGCCGCAUUAGCUAGUUGGUAAGGUAACGGCUUACCAAGGCAACGAUGCGUAGCCGACCUGAGAGGGUGAUCGGCCACACUGGAACUGAGACACGGUCCAGACUCCUACGGGAGGCAGCAGUAGGGAAUCUGCCGCAAUGGGCGAAAGCCUGACGGAGCAACGCCGAGUGAGUGAUGAAGGUCUUCGGAUCGUAAAACUCUGUUAUUAGGGAAGAACAAAUGUGUAAGUAACUAUGCACGUCUUGACGGUACCUAAUCAGAAAGCCACGGCUAACUACGUG
rnacentral:rRNA from 1 species